rnacentral:rRNA from 1 species
GACGAACGCUGGCGGCGUGGAUUAGGCAUGCAAGUCGAACGGUAUCAUCCUUUCGGGGGUGAGAGAGUGGCGAACUGGUGAGUAACACGUAGGUUAUCUACCCUCAAGACGGGGACAACCCAGGGAAACUUGGGCUAAUACCGGAUGUGAGCAACUUUUAGUUGUUUGAAAGGUGGCGUAAGCUGUCGCUUGGGGAUGAGCCUGCGUCCUAUUAGUUAGUUGGUGAGGUAACGGCUCACCUAGGCAAUGAUAGGUAGGCGGCCUUAACGGGUGGUCGCCCACACUGGGAUUGAGAUACGGCCCAGACUCCUACGGGAGGCAGCAGUCGAGAAUAGUCUACAAUGGUCGGAAGACUGAUAGUGCGACGCCGCGUGAACGAUGAAUCCCUUCGGGGUGUAAAGUUCUUUUAUAUGUGAGCAGUGCUUCUUAUAUUAACAGUAUGGGGAAGAGAUAUUAGCAUAUGAAUAAGCAACGGCUAAACUCCGUGCCCAGCAGCCGCGGUAAUA